GAUGAACGCUGGCGGCGUGCCUAAUACAUGCAAGUCGAGCGAACAGAUGAGGAGUUUGCUCCUCUGACGUUAGCGGCGGACGGGUGAGUAACACGUGGAUAACCUACCGAUAAGACUGGGAUAACUUCGGGAAACCGGAGCUAAUACCGGAUAAUAUAUUGAACCUCAUGGUUCAAUAGUGAAAUUCGGUUUUGCUGACACUUAUACAUUGAUCCGCGCCGCAUUAUCUAGUUGGUAAGAUAACGGCUUACCAACGCAACGGUGCGUAGCCGACAUCAGAGGGUGAUCGGCCAACCGGGAACUGAGAGAGGGCCGAGACUCCUGAGGGAGGAAGCAGUAGGGAAUCCUACGCAAUGGAGGAAAGGCUGACGGAGCACCGCGGAGUGAGUGAUGAAGGUGUUAGGAUCGGAAAACUCUGUUAUUAGGGAAGAACAAAUGCGUAAGUAAAUAUGCACGAAUUGACGGUACCUAAUCAGAAAGCCACGGCUAAAUACGUG
rnacentral:rRNA from 1 species